AUUGAACGCUGGCGGCAGGCCUAACACAUGCAAGUCGAACGAGUGGCGGACGGGUGGGUAAUGUCUGUGAAACUGCCUGCUGGAGGGGGAUCACUACUGGAAACGGUUGCUAAUACCGCAUACCAUCAGAUGUGCCCAGAUGGCAGUAGCUAGUUGGUGGGGUAACGGCUCACCAAGGCGACGAUCCCUAGCUGGUCUGAGAGGAUGACCAGCCACACUGGAACUGAGACACGGUCCAGACUCCUACGGGAGGCAGCAGUGGUGAAUAUUGGACAAUGGGCGCAAGCCCGAUGCAGCCAUGCCGCGUGUAUGAAGAAGGCCUUCGGGUUGUAAAGUACUUUCAGCGGGGAGGCGUUACCCGCAGAAGAAGCACCGGCUAACUCCGUGCCAGCAGCCGCGGUAAUAC
rnacentral:rRNA from 1 species